ACGUAAUAGAACAUAGAGAUUAAGUAAAUGAUU
rnacentral:guide_RNA from 1 species